rnacentral:rRNA from 1 species
ACGCGAGCUGGGUUCAGAACGUCGUGAGACAGUUCGGUCCCUAUCCGUCGCAGGCGUAGGAAAUUUGAGAAGACCUGUCCUUAGUACGAGAGGACCGGGAUGGACGUACCUCUGGUGUACCAGUUGUCCUGCCAAGGGCAUGGCUGGGUAGCUAUGUACGGAAUGGAUAAGCGCUGAAAGCAUCUAAGCGCGAAGCCAACUUCAAGAUAAGAUUUCCCACCGCAAGGGUAAGAC